UCCUUUAACCCUCUAUGGCAUGGUGUUGCCCUCAGGCAACAAACUACCUUUUUGGACCUCACACUGCCCCUUAAAUUUUUUUUUAUUAAAAAAAAAUGUAUAAUAUCACCUGACAUGUCUGUCCAAUCAAAUGAGGGACUAAAGUGGUUGUAGCCUUUUGUUUGGGGGUGGGGCAGUCCUUUCCGGAAGCAAAGUCACAUGGGACACAGUGCCACCAAUUGGAAAUGGACACAAGACAAUUUUACGGGCGGAAGGAACAUGAUCGAGCAGUUAGGGUCAUUCCUUCUGACAGUGAGGACAGUGAGCUUGUGGAGAGUGAAAAUGAGGACAGUGAGGUUGAGGAGAGUCAUGAAGACUGGAUCCCUGAAUCAGGUUUGAGAGACAGUUUGGAGGUCAGGGGUCAGUAAGGGGUCAGUCAGCAAAGUAUCAUGUGUGUGUGUGUGCGUACAUGUGUGUGUGUUUGUUUGCAUGCAUGUCAUUGUAUGAUGAAGGGUAUAUGACAAACAUGCUUCCUGCUGUCUUUUUUAGGAGAAUGCCUGUCUCUUGACAAUGACACAUAGUCAUUCGGAUGUUGGUUAAUAUAUAAGUGUUACAAUAUGUUUAUAUGAAAUGUCAGAAACAUUUGGUGUUGUAAUUAGUAGUAGUUUGUUUAUUUGAUUGUUCAUUGUUUUUUUUUUAUUGGUUGGAACCAUUUGUUAUUGAUGUUUGUCAAAAUAAAACAUGUUCUAAUGAAUAUAUUACAUGUUUUCCUUAUUCCACUAAUAUAGAAAACCUUGCUGUUUUAGUACCCUCAUAGCACAUUGUUGCCCUGAGGCAACGAACCAAUAUUUUGUUCAGGGGUGGGGGGGGGACACAUUUUAUGAUGGAUAUAUUACCAGGGACCCCCAAGCUCCCAAAAAAUGGGGUAACAUAUUUUUUCCCCCCCAAAAUAAAAAGUCAUGCCAUAGAGGGUUAAA
ensembl:lncRNA